rnacentral:tRNA from 1 species
UCCCCGGUGGCUUAGAUGGUAAAGAAUCUGCCUGCAAUGCAGGAGACCCAGGUUCAAUCCCUGGGUUGGGAA